UCACCAAAUUGCCCCCGGAUGAUGCCUCCACACCCUGUGACAAAAUGGCUGAGCCUCGGUACGCUAUGGAGCCUGAAAAGAACACCUGAGAGCUGAGAGCGGUUUGACUAUAUUAUUUCUUGUCUUUUCUUUCAUAAUCUAAUUCCCAUGUAAGAGGAACCUGUUUAAGGGUCGCAUUGUAAAUUCAAACUGUUAUUUACUCAUGUUUUUUGUUUUCUUUCCUUGUGUCAUUAACAUAUAAUUGGGGAUUGGUGCACUUCGAGGAAAAGGACCCAGGAACUCUGUGAUGAGAAGGACCUUACAGAGGAAUAGAAAAGGAUCACAUCUGAUAGUGAGAUUUAAGGACACUGGGACAAGGACUGCCCUCACUCUGGAUCAGCAUCAGCCAUGGACACAUGAACGAUAUGCUCGGCCCAGGGGACCAGGACAACCAAGGAGUAGACUGACUGAACUCAAAUAUUAAGGGAGGUACAUCAAAGAGUAAUGAAAGGACAAGAGGACCAGCGAACUCUAGCUACACGUCAGAAAAAUGCAACACCAAGGAGCCACCAGGAGAUGGACGACCGACAGGAUCAGAUGUGAUGAAAGCAUCACAGGAGGGAAUGGGAUCGUUCUCCAAUUGAAUUAGAUAAGUCAAACACUAUGUACUACAAUAGGAUUGGAAUAAUAUGAAUAUUAUGUUCUAUGAUUAGUUGAUAUUUGCUGAUAAGAACACUAAUUGUGGUUUUUCUGUCUUACUCAGUUUGAGGGGAUGGAUUGUAAAGACCGGUGACUCCAGGCAUAAGACUGCAAACCUUCAACUUCUGCCUGCAAAAUACUAAGGCGGGAACCGCUGAUCCUGUGUUCAUGCCUUUAAAAGCCAAGGACAGAGCCCUGAAGUGAAAGAACUAUAUUUUUUAUUUUUUCAACAGGAAAGAAGACAACACAAGUAUCGAUUAUUCUUGUAUUCUGUAAAUAUAAACCUGAUGAUUGUAACAUGCCAUUGCUUUGCAUUAUAACCUGUAUUACUGUUUUAUUAUUUCACAUUGUGAA